CGACCCCACCCAGGUAGGGGAACCCGGUGAUUUAACAUACAUAGGGGAAGAA
rnacentral:rRNA from 1 species